CCCUUAGAUGUUCUGGGCCGCACGCGCGCUACACUGAUGCAUUCAACGAGUUUCUUCCUGGUCCGAGAGGAAUGGGUAACCUUUUGAAAGUGCAUCGCGAUAGGGAUAGACUAUUGCAAUUAUUGAUCUUGAACGAGGAAUUCCUAGUAAACGCGAGUCAUCAGCUCGCAUUGAUUACGUCCCUGCCCUUUGUACACACCGCCCGUCGCACCUACCGAUUGAAUGUUUCGGUGAAGAUUCCGGAUAGGACUGAUUUGAUUUAUUUCAUUUCUGACCUAAAAGCUAUCUAAACCUCAACAUUUAGAGGAAGGUGAAGUCGUAACA
rnacentral:rRNA from 1 species